ACGAACGCUGGCGGCGUGCUUAACACAUGCAAGUCGAACGGAAAGGCCCUGCUUUUGUGGGGUGCUCGAGUGGCGAACGGGUGAGUAACACGUGAGUAACCUGCCCUUGACUUUGGGAUAACUUCAGGAAACUGGGGCUAAUACCGGAUAGGAUCUCCUGCUGCAUGGUUGGGGUUGGAAAGUUUCGGCGGUUGGGGAUGGACUCGCGGCUUAUCAGCUUGUUGGUGGGGUAGUGGCUUACCAAGGCUUUGACGGGUAGCCGGCCUGAGAGGGUGACCGGCCACAUUGGGACUGAGAUACGGCCCAGACUCCUACGGGAGGCAGCAGUGGGGAAUAUUGCACAAUGGGCGGAAGCCUGAUGCAGCAACGCCGCGUGCGGGAUGACGGCCUUCGGGUUGUAAACCGCUUUCGCCUGUGACGAAGCGUGAGUGACGGUAAUGGGUAAAGAAGCACCGGCUAACUACGUG
rnacentral:rRNA from 1 species